rnacentral:rRNA from 1 species
UGAGGAAUAUUGGUCAAUGGGCGGGAGCCUGAACCAGCCAAGCCGCGUGAGGGAUGAAGGCCCUAUGGGUCGUAAACCUCUUUUGUCAGGGAACAAAAGCGAGUAUGUAUACUGGUCUGAGUGUACCUGAAGAAAAACGCAUCGGCUAACUCCGUGCCAGCAGCCGCGGUAAUACGGAGGAUGCGAGCGUUAUCCGGAUUUAUUGGGUUUAAAGGGUGCGUAGGCGGCGGUGCAAGUCAGCGGUAAAAGCCCGGGGCUCAACCCCGGCGAGCCGUGAAACUGCAGUGCUAGAGAAGCGAGAGGUACGCGGAAUGCGCAGUGUAGCGGUGAAAUGCUUAGAUAUUGCGCAGAACUCCGAUUGCGAAGGCAGCGUACUGGCGCCUGACUGACGCUGAGGCACGAAAGCGUGGGGAUCGAACAGGAUUAGAUACCC